GCGGGAAUAGCUCAGUUAGUAGAGCGCAACCUUGCCAAGGUUGAGGUCGCGAGUUCGAGUCUCGUUUCCCGCUCCA
rnacentral:tRNA from 1 species